rnacentral:rRNA from 1 species
CCCUUAGGACGGGGAUAAACCCGGGAAACUGGGUAUAAUACCCGAUAGGUCUCGAUUGCUGGAAUGCAUCGAGAUUUAAAGCUCCGGCGCCUAAGGAUGGGUCUGCGGCCUAUCAGGUAGUAGUGGGUGUAGCGUACCUACUAGCCUACGACGGGUACGGGUUGUGAGAGCAAGAGCCCGGAGAUGGAUUCUGAGACACGAAUCCAGGCCCUACGGGGUGCAGCAGGCGCGAAAACUUUACAAUGCUGGCAACAGCGAUAAGGGAACCUCGAGUGCCAGGUUACAAAUCUGGCUGUCGAGAUGCCUAAAAAGCAUUUCAUAGCAAGGGCCGGGCAAGACCGGUGCCAGCCGCCGCGGUAACACCGGCGGCUCGAGUGGUAACCGUUAUUAUUGGGUCUAAAGGGUCUGUAGCCGGCCGGAUAAGUCUCUUGAGAAAUCUGGCAGCUUAACUGUCAGGCUUUCAGGAGAUACUGUCUGGCUCGAGGCCGGGAGAGGUGAGAGGUACUUCAGGGGUAGGGGUGAAAUCUUGUAAUCCUUGAAGGACCACCAGUGGCGAAGGCGUCUCACCAGAACGGACCUGACGGCAAGGGACGAAAGCUAGGGGCACGAACCGGAUUAGAUACCCGGGUAGUCCUAGCCGUAAACGAUACUCGCUAGGUGUCGGCCACGGUGCGACCGUUGUCGGUGCCGUAGGGAAGCCGUGAAGCGAGCCACCUGGGAAGUACGGCCGCAAGGCUGAAACUUAAA